ACGCUCGACACCUACGGGAGACAGCAGUGGGGAAUAUUGCACAAUGGGGGGAACCCUGAUGCAGCGACGCCGCGUGAGUGAAGAAGUACUUCGGUAUGUAAAGCUCUAUCAGCAGGGAAGAAAAUGACGGUACCUGACUAAGAAGCCCCGGCUAACUACGUGCCAGCAGCCGCGGUAAUCUGAGGCGGCUGGCAAGGC
rnacentral:rRNA from 1 species